rnacentral:rRNA from 1 species
AACGAACGCUGGCGGCAUGCCUAAUACAUGCAAGUCGAACGAGAUCUUCGGAUCUCGUGGCGUACGGGUGCGUAACGCGUAGGAAUCUGCUAAUGGGUUCGGAAUCACUUCUGGUAACGGAAGCUAAUACCGGAUGAUGUCGUUAGUCCCAAGUUUUAUCGCCCAAUGAUGAGCCCGCGUAGGAGAAGGUAGUUGGUGAGGUAUAGGCUCACCAAGCUGACGCUCCUUAGCUGGUCUGAGAGGAGGAUCAGCGACACUGGGACUGAGACACGGCACGGAGUCGUACGGGAGGCAGCAGUAGGGAAGAAUGGACGAUGGGCGAAAGCCGGGUGCAGCAAGGCCGCGUGAGGGAUGAAGGCCUUAGGGGUGUUAAGCACGUUAUCCCAGUAUGAGUAUGGCAGGUCCGGGUGAAUAAGCGCCGGCUAACUCCGUG